GCCCUAGUGGUUUAGUGGAUAAAGCACUAGCCUCUUAAGCCAGGGAGUGUGGGUUCAAAGUCCCAUCUGGGGCG
rnacentral:tRNA from 1 species